AGUCGAGCGAGCGGAACCAACAGAUUUACUUCGGUAAUGACGUCGUGAAAGCGAGCGGCGGAUGGGUGAGUAACACGUGGGGAACCUGCCCCUAAGUCUGGGAUACCAUUUGGAAACAGGUGCUAAUACCGGAUAAUAAAGCAGAUCGCAUGAUCAGCUUUUGAAAGGCGGCGUAAGCUGUCGCUAAGGGAUGGCCCCGCGGUGCAUUAGCUAGUUGGUAAGGUAACGGCUUACCAAGGCGACGAUGCAUAGCCGAGUUGAGAGACUGAUCGGCCACAUUGGGACUGAGACACGGCCCAAACUCCUACGGGAGGCAGCGGUAGGGAAUCUUCCACAAUGGACGCAAGUCUGAUGGAGCAACGCCGCGUGAGUGAAGAAGGUUUUCGGAUCGUAAAGCUCUGUUGUUGGUGAAGAAGGAUAGAGGUAGUAACUGGCCUUUAUUUGACGGUAAUCAACCAGAAAGUCACGGCUAACUACGUGCCAGCAGCCGCGGUAAUACGUAGGUGGCAAGCGUUGUCCGGAUUUAUUGGGCGUAAAGCGAGCGCAGGCGGAAAAAUAAGUCUAAUGUGAAAGCCCUCGGCUUAACCGAGGAACUGCAUCGGAAACUGUUUUUCUUGAGUGCAGAAGAGGAGAGUGGAACUCCAUGUGUAGCGGUGGAAUGCGUAGAUAUAUGGAAGAACACCAGUGGCGAAGGCGGCUCUCUGGUCUGCAACUGACGCUGAGGCUCGAAAGCAUGGGUAGCGAACAGGAUUAGAUACCCUGGUAGUCCAUGCCGUAAACGAUGAGUGCUAAGUGUUGGGAGGUUUCCGCCUCUCAGUGC
rnacentral:rRNA from 1 species